AAACUCCCCCUCUGUGUUCAGCCUCAGUAAUACUCUUCCUGGGGGAUUGCAUGUCGCGUCUAAGGAGCCCAACAUCCACUUUUAUCUCCUCCAUAUUGCCAUUCAGCCAUGUCUUGCAGGCAUAGAUAGCAUGGAGAGGGGGAGGGCUGACCUGUUUAAGCAUAGGUUUUGAGUCCUCAGCAGCAGCAAGCAGGUACUCGGGGUGUCCUAGCACUCUCCAGCAGGCAGUGCCACUGCACCGUCAGCACCAUUUUGAGCCUCCCCACAGGCAAAAUCCUGGAGUUUUUCCAGAGCUGUCCAGUCCUCCUCAGGUAUUUUUUCCACAGAUUCACAGCUCGUACAGUAAAGAACCAGAUCCUAGUGUGACUAUUCCACAGAUUCACAGCUCUUAAAGUAAAGAACCAGAUCCUAGGGUGACUAUUCCACAGAUUCACAGCUCGUACAGUAAAGAACCAGAUCCUAGGGUGACUACUCCCCAGAACUACAGUUCAUACAGUAAAGAACCAGUUUCUGAAGUAUUACAGCUCUUACAGUAAAGCUCCUGGGGUGAUUACUUCAUAUCUACAGCUCUUAUGGUAAAGAAUCAGCCUCCUCGGUGCCUAUUCCAUGGAUUCACAGCUCACACAAAACACAAAACGACUCCGGAGGCACGCAGACCGGGAAGGGGAUAUAUGCAAUGGGGAUGGUGCACCGGACCAUCCUCCCAGCCCCCGGACCAUUUUCCCGACCCCAGGACAAUCUUCCCGGCCAAAGGACCAGCUUAAUUAAGAUGCAGUUGAGUGGAGUCUAUAUAAAUACCCACUGGGGCUCCGAGCUGUCAUGGAGGGAAUCCUCAUGGUGAUCGCUGACGGUAAUUGUUUCCUAAGAACUGGUCCCGCAGUUCCAUCACUGAGGACGAUGGCUGGAUGUUUAUUUAUCAGCCGCAUUGUGUGGGACAAACUAUCACGGGAUCAUCAAUUACACUGAAGCCUGGGCCAGAAGUGUGACAAGGACGAUGAGUGGCGAGGGCGGCCAUCACUCUGUCUGUAAUGUUCAUGUAAUUGUCUGCAGUAAACAAGUUAUUUAAACUCAUUUUAAGAAUAUUUAUUCGCCGAAUUAUUCUGAGGCUGAGAUCAGAGCAGAAUACAAAGCUGGGACACCAUGUGCUGCUCUCCCUGUCCUGUAAUACACACCACUGUCCCCCAGGACCACAGAUGAAGCGUCAUCACUACAGACAAUCCUGUACUGGCUCUGUAUUCUCUACCGGAUCUCAAAAUGUCACCAUAAAGUGUGGGCUACACAGUGAUACCGGGUGUAUGAAAUACAACACAUGAGAUUUUCUAGUCAGCUAAAAACCCAUUGACACACACUUUUUUUGGUGCACAUUUUGUAUUCAUUGG